AAACAAAGUGUAGUUGAUGUGAAUGGGCCAUGAAAUCAAAGCUGAACAGGAAACGAAGUGAAGAAAGAAGUGAAGGUGGUAGGAAGCUAGUAGAUAAGAAAAAAGCUGAGGGUAGUCCAUGAACUUUAUUUUUCAUUUUUUUUUAAUUAUUGAUUUAAUAUUAUUUAAAAUGGUGGGUGAUGUGGGAAGGUAUCCCAACAUGAUCAUGCAGUGGCAUAAUCAUGGCUCACUGCAGCCUUGUCCUCCUGGGCUCAAGACAUCCUCCCGCCUCAGCCUCCAGUGUAGCUGAAACUAUAGGCAUGUGUUACCACACCCAGCUAAUUUUUGAUUUUUUGUGGAGACAGGAUCUCGCUGUGUUGCCCGGGCUGGUCUCAAACUUCUGGACACAAACAAUCCUCCACAUUGGCCUCCCAAAAUGCUGGAAUUACAGGUGUGAGCCACUGGACCAGCAGGACUCUAAAUUUUGGGUCAGAUGAAAGUGAGAUCCAUACAUCCUUCUUCAGCAACUUGUGCCUCUGCUCUGCACCUCCCGCAAUUAACUACUGAAAAAAGAACACAGCUUCACAAAAGAGAUUGUAAAAUCAGGAAGUAUAUCUAAGUCACCUCCAGUAGCCGUAACUCUACCUUGUCCAGUAAAAGUGCUGCUUGUUGCUGACGUUUCUGCCCAAACAUCAUGAAAUGUGGAGAAGAAAGAACACUCAGAUGUGCCCUGGAGACUUUCCUUUUAUUUUUAAACAGGUGCCUGCAAUCUGUCUGGAAUUCAGACUAUUACCCUUCUGGAUUCACUAAAACUAUACUCUUAAUCUGUACUGGGAAGUUCUAUACUGUUGCUUUAAUCCUUGGUGCUGUUUAUUUCAACCAAGAUACACCUUGAAGACAAUCUGCCUGCAACACUCAUAAUCCCUGAAUGGAUAGCACCCAAUAAAAGAGAGAACAUCAUUGCCAAUUUUUUCUUCUAUCCAAGUCCUCCUCUGUCUUUAUACCUUAUUUGACCUGAAUAUCUUAUCUUUCCGUGUUAAAUGCUCUUCUCUCUUGACCUCUAGAUCACUGUACUCUCUGGGGUCUGCCUCUGUUUCCCUAAUAUUUUCCGCUUUAAAUUGUCCACAUCUGCUCAUGCUUCAAUUGAUGCCCUCUUUUUAAAAAUUCUGUCCUUAGCCAUCAUUUCUCUCUAAGUUCUACUUAAUAAUAACCUUAGACAUUUUUGUGAUUUUAUCUUUUAUUUCUAUGCAUAUUUUUUUACCAAAUGCAUACUUCUAGAUGUGAUCCCCCUCAUAUUUUUCAGAACAUAUAUAGUUCAUUGACAUUAUUUUCAAAGAUACAUCAACAGCACCCCAAAUUAAACAUGUACAAAAAUAUUUGUCUUCUCCACAAAUAUGUUCUCAUUUGAAUAUUUACUGCCAUUGCUGUUGGAGGAUACCUCUAAAGAACCCUGGAAGAAAAUAUCAGUGUUAGUCACAAUUUCUUAUAUUUUUCAUCUCUGUAGUCAAGAAGUAAAUCACCAUAUCAUAGAGAAUUGUGAAGGAUCUGAGAUUUUAUCAUCUUACAAGCUAACAGGUUAGCUGGCUACAAUUUCACAGAUUCUGCAGAAGACACAGGACUCCAGGAUCAGACACAAAGAACUUUGCUACUCAUGGCACAGCAGGUAGCAUGAGCUUCAUGUUCACACCAGUUUCCUUUGACUCCUCAGUCACAUUGGAGUGGUGCAGAGAAAACUCAGGUGGAUGCUGGACACACAGUGAGUUUGUUUCACAGUCAAAGAAUUCUGAUCUUUGGAAACCCAAAUCUUUUAUAAGGUAUAUGCAACCAAAAGCACCAAGUCUUUGCCCUGACGGGAGACACCGUCUCUAUCUGUAAGGAGAUAGAAGAGGACAAAGGGAAUAAGUAUCUCUGUUCUAAAACAUGUAGGAAUACAAGAAACAUGUAAAGAAUAUUCUCCCUAUACUUAUCGUACCUGCUGUAUCUUCUGUUCCUCAUUUCUAAAUAGCUGUGUGAAACUGGACAAAUUACUUACCUUCAUUGUCCCACAAUUUUUUAUGUGUUAAUGGGAAUAAUAAUAGUACCUAAAACACAGAGCUAUUAUGAUUUUUCAAAGAGUUAAUAUGUCUAAAGUUUCUGUGGUAAAGGCUGGCACAUUAUUAAAUGCUAUUUAAGUCAUUAUUAAAUAACUGAAUAAGUACUUAUUACUAUUAUCAUCAUCAUAUUUACUGUUCCUUUUCCAUUUUGUUUGCCACUGGCACUUAGCUUCUCCCUUGUCUACUGCAGUAUAGUCUUACUGUGAUUCUGCACCCAGACUCUCACCUCCCCCAUUUACUCUUUGUGCAGUUUCCAAAGCUUAUUUCCUAAAAUAAGUAUCAGUGAUGUCCACUUGAUUCUUCCAGAAAUUUUAGAUGAUUCCAGGUUGCAGACAGAAACUGGCCUGCAGUAUGGAAUUCAGGAUCCUUCUCAACAUGACUUUUUGGUAGUCUCUUUCCCCUUUAGACUUCCGUAGUUUAGACUUUCUGUAUUUUAUGAAGAGAUUAGGCACAUCUAGGCAUCCACAAAUUUGAUCCUGCUGUUCCCUCAGUCAGAAACCCUUUUAUCUUUACCUGUGAAAAUUCUUGUAAUGUUACUGAUGUCAGUUCAUGCUAUUGCUUCCCCAAACUUCUUGCAAGCACACACUCUGCCUGGCUUAUCUUUCAAUACUCUCUUGGUUGUAAAAAUCAUUUUUAGCAACACAAGUAUCAUAUUCAUCAUCCAUCCACUUUCCUUAUAUUCUUCCUCUUUAACUUUCUACCCAUCUAGUUCCUUUGUCUUUGCUUGUCAACAUAUCCUGGUCAUUCUCUUCAUUCAUAUGAACUGACUUAGCAGGCUCACUUUCCUGCAGCUUUAGGUUCUGCAUAGAUGGCUUCCUUGUGGACAUCUAAUUUGGGCUGAUCCAGGAUGAACACUGCCCUAUACUGCUUCCCCUCUAAUACUGCUGAGUUCUGUCUUUGAGGUUGAGGCCUUACAAGUCCAGAAACAAAUCAUCAAUGCCUCAUAGUCCUACCCUUCACCGUGUAGGAGGCUUAUCGUCUUGAUAAUCAAACAAAAAGCCCAGCAUCAAAAAGUCACCUGUGGUCAAAGCUGCAAAUACUAAGGAAAUGUUUUGGUGAGCAUGAAUAAAAAAAGGCAUAUUACUUCCUCCAUUUAGCCUGUGCCAAUUAAGACUGUGUAGGAGGAGAUUUAUUGCAAUUAAAUAAUUUAAAAUAUUAUGUAUAAUUUCAGUUAAUUGAGCAAAAAUGUAACAGCAUUCAAGAGAAAAGAGCAAAGGAAAAACCAAUGUAAAAUUUAAAAGUAUAUACAGUCUAUAUAUUGAUCUGGGUUUAUAAAGGGAUUUAAAUUGCAGUUCUAAAUUUAUUUAGUUUUAUAUUUCAAUUGCACAUCUGUUUCUCGUUUUCAUGGAACAUGUUUCAAUCUCAGAGUGAAAGAUUUCCUGAAAAUCAUAAGAUUUAUGUUUACUGUGUUCCUUAUAAAACCAAACUCAUGACAAGUGAUGGUCAAUAAGUGGUCUUUGUUGCAUUAAAUAAAAAGAAUCUGUGAACUUUGAAUGCUACUGCUUAUUAAUGCACAUUACUGAAUACAUAAAGACAAUGAAAUAUUGAUAAAAUGUAAAUUUAACAUAGUCCGCUAACAUUAAGAUAGAGGUUAUUAAAAAUGAAAAUUAAGACAUAUAUGAUCAAAUUGAAUAUCUGAUGUAGGAAGAAAAUAGGUAACACACAAAGCAAAUAGAGAAAAUAGCCAGUAAACACAUGAGAAUAAUAUAUUACAAAGUUGCUAAAAUUUUCCUCAUACUUAUUUAAUACAACUAAUAAAAAGUCCAGGAUAUGCCUUUUGAACCGAUGCAACGGUGUGCCUACCGUGUAUUGA
rnacentral:lncRNA from 10 species